CAGCCGCCGCGGUAAUACGUAGGUGGCAAGCGUUGUCCGGAAUUAUUGGGCGUAAAGCGCGCGUAGGCGGUUUUUUAAGUCUGAUGUGAAAGCCCGCGGCUCAACCGUGGAGGGUCAUUGGAAGCUGGAAAACUUGAGUGCAGAAGAGGAAAGUGGAAUUCCAUGUGUAGCGGUGAAAUGCGCAGAGAUAUGGAGGAACACCAGUGGCGAAGGCGACUUUCUGGUCUGUAACUGACGCUGAUGUGCGAAAGCGUGGGGAUCAAACAGGAUUAGAUACCCCGGUAGUCCCUGUCUCUUAUAC
rnacentral:rRNA from 1 species